ACUGCUUACAUCUAUCUAUCUAUCUAUCUAUCUAUCUAUCUAUCUAUCUAUCUAUCUAUCUAUCUAUCUAUCUAUCUAUCAGCUUUAAAUGCUGUUUAUUAUUGCUAGAGUGACGUAAGUGACGUCUCAGCAGUCCAAUCAACUUUUGUGUGUAACCUACUAGCCAAUCCCAAAGCAGGGGCGGGGUUUCCUGAAUACAGGUGGUUAAAGAACAAGGCCUUCAGCGGCGCAUAAACAAGGCAUAGAGAAAAAAAGCUAAUCUAAUACAGGGAGACAGGCGGACAGACAGACAUGCAGGCGGGCGGCAGACUACGCGGGCACGCAGGCGGUCAGCUGCCCGGCGGGACUGAGCCUGAGCCUCCAGCCCAUUAUCACACAUUUACACCCGCUAACACUCACACUACUGAAAACCCAAGAUCUUACACAGGUAUGGACAUACUAACUAAUAAUUAACUGCGUAUUAAUACUAAAUUUACAGGGUUUAAACCUGUAAAAGUCUCGCAUGCGGGGAGGAGCGGGAUCAGAUAACGCGGAUAAACAUCGAGGUCGCUGAUUACUAGCUAACGCUAAUUAACUGGAACAUUAACUUAUCGUAUUUCUGCUUAUUUUAUCUUAUAAUCAUCAUUAUUAAUGUCGUGAGCUCGCGUGUUAGUGAAGGAUUAGGCCGGUUAUAUCACGAUCAGAUCGAUGAAUCCUCACUUCCUGUUGGCCGGAGUCUCUAGAUUAACGGCAGAGGGAGGUUUUGUUUUAUUUAGCCUAAAUAACUAACAUAACGAGGUAUUUUUUUGCUAGUUUUGUGUGCUAUUCUUUAUUUUUGCGCCCAAACCAGGAACGUGUGACUCAUGACUUAAUUCCCGACUCCACCUUUUAAGCUCGUGUACUCGUUCUCGGCCCUGUUCCUGUUAUUUGCAAGCUCCGUUUGUAAUUUCUCCGUUCCACCUUAAAUAGCGCUGCAGUAAGGUUGUAGCGCCUGCAUGCCCUAUACCGUAAAAGUGCACAGUUUAAGGUGGAACGGAGAAGUUGCCUAUUUGUGUUGGUUCAUGUUUGUAACGGUCUUUAAAUAGAGAACUUGGUCAGUUUCGGUCUGUUCUUGCUUUGAUC
rnacentral:lncRNA from 1 species